rnacentral:rRNA from 1 species
AGGACGAACGCUGGCGGCGUGCUUAACACAUGCAAGUGGAGCGACGAACCAGGGCUUGCCCUGGGGCAGAGCCGCGAACGGGUGAGUAACACGUGGGUUACCUGCCUCGAUGACCGGGACAACCCGAGGAAACUCGGGCUAAUACCGGAUGUGCCCGCAAGGGGAAAGGAAGCUUCGGCCUCCGCAUCGAGAUGGGCCCGCGGCCCAUUAGCUUGUUGGUGAGGUAACGGCUCACCAAGGCUUCGAUGGGUAGCUGGUCUGAGAGGACGAUCAGCCACACUGGGACUGAGACACGGCCCAGACUCCUACGGGAGGCAGCAGUGGGGAAUCUUGCGCAAUGCGCGAAAGCGUGACGCAGCAACGCCGCGUGGGGGAAGAAGGCUUUCGGGUUGUAAACCUAUUUCAGCAGGGACGAAGCGAAAGUGACGGUACCUGCAGAAGAAGCACCGGCCAACUACGCGCCAGCAGCCGCGGUAA